UAGUCUCGCACAGAUGCAUAUCAAUAAGCGGAGGAAAAGAAACUAACAAGGAUUCCCCUAGUAACGGCGAGUGAAGCGGGAAGAGCUCAAAUUUGAAAUCUUAAAGGGUUUCCCUUUACGAAUUGUAGUUUAAAGAAGUGUUUUCUGUUGAGGUUUUGGUAAAAGUUCUUUGGAAUAGGACAUCAUAGAGGGUGAGAAUCCCGUAUUUGACCAUUAUUUUCAGCUGUGUGAUACACUUUCAAAGAGUCGGAUUGUUUGGGAAUGCAGUCCAAAAUGGGUGGUAAAUUUCAUCUAAAGCUAAAUAUUGGCGAGAGACCGAUAGCGAACAAGUACCGUGAGGGAAAGAUGAAAAGAACUUUGAAAAGAGAGUUAAACAGUACGUGAAAUUGUCAAAAGGGAAGCGUUUGACACCAGUGUUGUUUUCUCGAAAAUCAAUUAAAAAGAGUUUGAUUUUGUUGUGUAUUGACCUUAACAGCUUGCAUUUCAAUUUUCUUGCUUUUUUUAAUGCACUUUUCGUUUAACAAGUCAACAUCAGUUUCUUUUGUUGUAAAAAGGUCAUUGGAAGGUGGCUUUCUUUUCGGAGAAAGUGUUUAUAGCCUUUGACUCCUGCAAUCGGAGAGACUGAGGUCUGCAGCGUAGAUCCUUCGGGGUUAGAUACAUUUGUGCUAAGUUAUAGCUUUUUAUAGACAAGCUUGUUGACUAUGAUUAGUCUUGUAGCUUACUCGCUUAUGCUAUUUUACCUACGCUUAGGAUGUUGAGCGCAUGUCUCUCUCU
rnacentral:rRNA from 1 species